rnacentral:rRNA from 1 species
AUUGAACGCUGGCGGCAGGCCUAACACAUGCAAGUCGAACGAGUAUCGGACGGGUGAGUACUGUCUGGGAAACUGCCCGCUGGAGGGGGAUACCUACUGGAAACGGUAGCUAAUACCGCGUAACAGCGGACGUGCCCAGAUGGGAGUAGAUGGUAGGUGGGGUAACGGCUCACCUAGGCGACGAUCCCUACCUGUUCUGAGAGGGUGAGCAGCAACACUGGAAUUGAGACACGGUCCAGACUCGUCCGGUGGGCAGCAGUGGGGAAUAUGGCACAAGUGGUGCAAGCCGAAUGCAGCCAUGCGGCGUGUAUGAAGAAGGCCUUCGGGUUGUAAAGUACGUUCAGCGGGGAGGCGUUACCAAAAGAAAAAGCACCGGCUAACUCCGUGCCAGACGACGCGGUAAUAC